rnacentral:rRNA from 1 species
UGGAUUAGGCAUGCAAGUCGAACGCCGUAGCAAUACGGAGUGGCAGACGGGUGAGUAACACGUGGGAACGUACCUUUCGGUUCGGAAUAACUCAGGGAAACUUGAGCUAAUACCGGAUACGUGCGAGAGCAGAAAGAUUUAUCGCCGAAAGAUCGGCCCGCGUCCGAUUAGCUUGUUGGUGAGGUAACGGCUCACCAAGGCGACGAUCGGUAGCUGGUCUGAGAGGAUGAUCAGCCACACUGGGACUGAGACACGGCCCAGACUCCUACGGGAGGCAGCAGUGGGGAAUAUUGGACAAUGGGCGCAAGCCUGAUCCAGCCAUGCCGCGUGAGUGAUGACGGCCUUAGGGUUGUAAAGCUCUUUCGCCAGGGACGAUAAUGACGGUACCUGGAUAAGAAGCCCCGGCUAACUUCGUGCCAGCAGCCGCGGUA